UAUUUUGAUUCUGGGGAGUCAUCAGGGGAGAGCAGUGACAGUGAUGAACAACUGAGCGAGGAGGGAGCCCCCUCCGAGCUAAUCUGGAUGAGCUCUCUGAGCUCACUGUUCUUUGUGUGAGGUGGCGCAAAAACAUCUGCCGAGCUGUAACACCUGCU